CGGAGGGGGAGCCAUGCAAGCCGGCCACAGGCUCCACAGAUAGAGGAUGAUGAUAGCUUGCAUGCCCUCACCAUGAUUGUGCUUUAAUUAAAUUAGCAGGUUGUCAGGCUGUAGAGUGAAAAAUUCGCUAAGAUAAAGAUUCCGAGUGAAUGGCUUACAACGUCAGGUUUGCUUAGUUAGUAUUUAAUUAUUAAUGUUCUACGAAGGUCUAUUUGGAAGCUCGAAAUCUAUAAUGAUGAUGCAUAAUGUUAUUUAGAUCAUAUAUAUGUUAAUAGUCUCAGAUUAUUCAUUAUGUUUCCGCAAAUUCAUACUCUGAGUAGUUAGGCGCAUUUAGAGCAACAUCAUUGGUUAAUUGGUCUGGUGGAAAUUGCAUGUAACACUCAACGUUAAUCAAAGUUGAUUGAUUUAACUCA